GUGAAGCUGGCCAGGUGCAGAUGACCCCCUGAGGCUGGACAGAAUUCAAAGCAGCAUAGACAAACAGCAGACAAGACCCGCAGCUCCCAGGCCCUGUCCUUGCCAGAUGUUGGUGGCUCACCGUCCCCAACUGGCCUGACCCAGCAAGAGAUGCCACCCCAGCCUUCCAGGGACCUGAAGGUAGCCCAAAUGGCAGCACAGGAAGACAACCCCUGAGAUUAUGAGACCCAAGUAAAUCUUGGUGAUCCCCAAAGGCCUCUGUGGGGACUUCACUUUCUACCUCUAGCCUGAGGCAGUCAAUAUUUCCCGGGUUUACACCUCCAGCCCACAUCUCCAGAGCUCCAGACUCGCAGGUCAGAGGUGGCACUGUUUACCUGCCAAGGUGGUGGUACAAGCCUAAAGCAAAGACAGAUGGAGCAAGACUAGACCAACUCUGAGUGGUGGGCACAAGCUUGGGGCUGUUCCUUCACAGGAGCAGCUGAAUCUCCCAAGUCAGGGACGAGGGAGGCAGCUAGCCUCCCACACAGUGUCUCAAAGCUGCCAUCAGAGAGAGCACACUCUGGGUAGAAUGUGGCUCUGUGAUCUCUGUCUUCUAAUUCACUCUAAAUAGUAGGGACUGCUUCUUCCAGCAUCGCACUCCCUGUGCCCCUAGAACACGGGGAGCUCAACCCUGCUAUAUGUGAGAAAUACAAGGGAGCGUUUACAAACUACUGCUGUCGAGACCCAGUACAUUCUGAUGCAAUGGUCUGGGGUAGGUCUCAGGCAUGUGAUGUGAUAUAUAUCUGCUCCCUCACACUUUCCUGGUCAUCUGAUGAGUAGGUACAGCUGCAAACCAGGGUGGCUCUUUCUGGGGUAUCUGACCCAAGCCCACCAGCUCCUGAUCCCCCAACCUGGGUCAGCCUCAGGUCCACCCAGCAAAGCCGCUGACCAGGGAGCUGAGGGGUCUAACUGGCCAGUAAGGGUGAUCCCUGGCCUGGGAGUCAGAAUCCUGACUCCCACCUGGCUCUGCCCUGAAUUACCAGGACCCCGUAACUCAGUGCUCCUAAUUUCCUACAACCCCAAUUUCUUCAACCACCAACUCAGGAGGCAGAGAAGUUUUAUAAAGACCAACGAGAUUGUUUACCCAGAGUAAUGCUGCUAAACAAAUACUCUGCACCCACCAUGCUAGGUGCUGAAGGCAUGUUAUUUCCUUUGGUUCUACUACUCUGCCCACUUUAAAGCUGAGAGAAUUGAGGCUCAGAGAAGCUAACUCACUUGACCAGGGUCCCACAACCACUAACUACAUGAGGGAGCUGGAAUACAAUUCCAGAGCUUGCAUGCCUAAGCACCACCUUUGGUUUACACACCAGAGGAAUAUGAAGGGACUUAUUGCUGGCUGUCUUUUCCCGGAGGUCAAGGCUAAAGCUGGCAAGACAUACUCUGGGAGGAUGGUUCAGGUCGUGCAGAGAAGUGCCCUUGGCACACUCCUUGAUGUUGGUGUGGCAGCGUUGGUUUCCCCACCCUCCAUCGUGGGCUGCCAAGGAGUGGCUGCAAAGCUUUCUUCUUCAUUUAGUAAGAGCACAAGAUGGUGGUUGGCCCAAAGAUGAGGUGACAUUAGCCAGCUGAGAGAGAACAGCAGCCUUCUCUGCCCAGCUGGAAGGAAAGAAAAAACAAAGGAGCAUGGCAGAGUGAACUGUGGGCCUGUCUCCAACUCUGAAAGCUAGUAGCCUGCAGGUUCAGAUCUCCCUGCAUCCCGCCGCUCCACUUUUCACCUUCUUUUGAGCAAACCCAGAAGAGGAAUUCGAGCAUAGGAGAGAGUGGAAGAUGAGCAGACAUGAAAUGUCAGCAGCAAAGCGCCCUUCUGGAUUUACUUUCCCACUUCCUUCCGACGGGGAAGAAGCAGGUAAGGGAACACAGGAAAAGCUUGCAUAAAGCUUCUUGAUCCAAUCAGGUAC
rnacentral:lncRNA from 1 species